AUCGAACGCUGGCGGCAUGCCUAACACAUGCAAGUCGAACGGAGCGUCGGACGGGUGAGUAAUGCUUAGGAAUCUGCCUGGUAGUGGGGGAUAACGUCCGGAAACGGGCGCUAAUACCGAAUACUAGCACACUAGCCAAGGGCGGAUUAGCUAGUUGGUGGGGUAAAGGCCUACCAAGGCGACGAGCCGUAACUGGUCUGAGAGGAUGAUCAGUAACACGGGAAUGGAGAAACGGUCCAGCUUCCUACGGGAGGCAGCAGUGGGGAAUAUUGGACAAUGGGCGAAAGCCUGCUCCAGCCAUGCCGCGUGUGUGAAGAAGGUCUUCGGAUUGUAAAGCACUUUAAGUUGGGAGGCGUUACCAACAGAAUAAGCACCGGCUAACUUCGUGCCAGCCGCCGCGGUAAUAC
rnacentral:rRNA from 1 species